UGGCCCGGCUUUCCCCCUAGGCGUCUCGAAAAUGAGGGUGCGGAGCAGUGGGCUUGGCCGCUGAGAAGCCUGCCUGAGGAGGGGGUGCCUUCCAGCGACACUUGGAACAACCUCUAGGAAAUGGGAACCCAAACUGCACGAGCCUCUGCUCUGACUUCAUGGCCAUUUGGAAAGCCAGUCCUUCCCAUGGCCAUUGUUGAGACAUUGUCCUGCCCUCUUUUCCAUUUUGGGGGACCCCAAGUUUGCAGGGAAACCCUAAUCCUGAUCAGAACCCUGUGGCUGAGUUACCUGCCCUGGACUCAGCCAAUCAGGAGGGAGAAGAGAGCAAGGAGGCUGGGAAGGCUGCUCAGUGAGGACCCUCCUGGGUCCACGGGGGGUGACCACCCCAGCCAUGGCCUGUGUUCAGAUGCCCAAGGAUUCGAGAACCUCUGGUAUAUCCAGAUAUCACAAAGUAACUGUGAAGUUGUUUCAACUCUUUGAUGGCAUGAUUGAUGGGUCCCCAAGAGUCCCAUUCUGAAACAGGAAUGAAGAUUCCCUGCUCCCUGCGUGGAGACUCACAAGCAAUAAAAUUGCAAAUAAUGCCCAGAAGCUGGAAAGUAAACUUUAAGAAUUGUAGAUGGAAUCAUGCCCACUGUGGUCUAUGUAUGCCAAUGCCAAAGCCCAUGCACCAAAGGAAAAACAGAGAGCGAGAGAAACGCCACGCUACUGGAAGGAAAAAAUAGGACUAAGGUCCGAAGGCACCACCCUUAGAACCCUGGGACCGGUUCUGAUCACAGACAACCAGAUGGCUGGAUGGAUACCUGCGCCUCUCCAAUCCCACGGGACCCCUGAUCCUCUCCAGACUGUUAAGGGUCAGUCCUCAUCACAGCCAACAGUGAGACGAGGUAGUGUAUGCCAGGUGUCCCAAGCGGGGUCUGGACAGUGCAGGCCAGGGGUCAGGGAAGGCAUCCCUGGGAGGGGAGGCUCGAGCUGGAUCUUGGAUGACGGGCAGCACCACUGAAAGGGCAGUGGCAUGAAGAUGAGAAUACAUUUGAUGUGUUUGACAGUCUGUGAUGCCACCAGCCAGCUGGAGUCCCUGGAGAAGGCUGGGGAGAAAAGGGACAAGGUUUAAGUCAAUUAAAUCUUUGACUUAACUGGGGGUUACUCUACAAACUGCACAUAACCUACUUGACAUUAAAUAUAGUCGCUAGGCAUUUAAAUUGUAUGUUUGUAUAGAAGGCCAUGAUUUGGGGGCUGAAUUCUUCUUGUCCAGAGCUGUGAGGGGAGAUGUGGGAAUUGGGAGUCAUAGACUGUUAGACAGAAAGAGGUUCUGAUGGAUCAGCAUCAUCACUUUAUAUAUCUAUAGGCUUAGACAGCCUAACUGGGUUC